AACGAACGCUGGCGGCAGGCCUAACACAUGCAAGUCGAACGGGACCUUCGGGUCUAGUGGCGGACGGGUGAGUAACGCGUGGGAACGUGCCCUUUGGUUCGGAAUAGCCUCGGGGAAACUGGGAGUAAUACCGGAUACGGUCGAGAGACGAAAGAUUUAUCGCCGAAGGAUCGGCCCGCGUUGGAUUAGGUAGUUGGUGGGGUAAAGGCCUACCAAGCCGACGAUCCAUAGCUGGUUUGAGAGGAUGAUCAGCCACACUGGGACUGAGACACGGCCCAGACUCCUACGGGAGGCAGCAGUGGGGAAUCUUAGACAAUGGGGGAAACCCUGAUCUAGCCAUGCCGCGUGAUCGAUGAAGGCCUUAGGGUUGUAAAGAUCUUUCAGUGGGGAAGAUAAUGACGGUACCCACAGAAGAAGCCCCGGCUAACUCCGUGCCAGCAGCCGCG
rnacentral:rRNA from 1 species